UACGAAGGGUGCGAGCGUUAAUCGGAAUUACUGGGCGUAAAGCGUGCGCAGGCGGUUUUGUAAGCCAGAUGUGAAAUCCCCGGGCUUAACCUGGGAAUGGCAUUUGGGACUGCAAGGCUGGAGUUUGGCAGAGGAGACUGGAAUUCCUGGUGUAGCAGUGAAAUGCGUAGAUAUCAGGAGGAAUACCGAUGGCGAAGGCAGGUCUCUGGGCUAUAACUGACGCUCAUGCACGAAAGCGUGGGGAGCAAACAGG
rnacentral:rRNA from 1 species